GCUCCACUCGGCUCGGGGGGAUAUAGCUCAGUUGGUAGCGGUGGUUUACCCUGUGGCGGAUGUCAGCGGUUCG
rnacentral:tRNA from 1 species